UGGUUUAUGUAGUGAUUUGUAGGA
rnacentral:piRNA from 1 species